rnacentral:tRNA from 1 species
AGCCCUGUAGCUCAGUUGGUCAGAGCGGCGUCUUGAUAAGGCGCGGGUCGUUGGUUCGAAUCCAACCUGGGCUACCA